GGUCAGCGACUUAUAUUCUGUAGCAAGGUUAACCGAAUAGGGGAGCCGAAGGGAAACCGAGUCUUAACUGGGCGUUAAGUUGCAGGGUAUAGACCCGAAACCCGGUGAUCUAGCCAUGGGCAGGUUGAAGGUUGGGUAACACUAACUGGAGGACCGAACCGACUAAUGUUGAAAAAUUAGCGGAUGACUUGUGGCUGGGGGUGAAAGGCCAAUCAAACCGGGAGAUAGCUGGUUCUCCCCGAAAGCUAUUUAGGUAGCGCCUCGUGAAUUCAUCUCCGGGGGUAGAGCACUGUUUCGGCAAGGGGGUCAUCCCGACUUACCAACCCGAUGCAAACUGCGAAUACCGGAGAAUGUUAUCACGGGAGACACACGGCGGGUGCUAACGUCCGUCGUGAAGAGGGAAACAACCCAGACCGCCAGCUAAGGUCCCAAAGUCAUGGUUAAGUGGGAAACGAUGUGGGAAGGCCCAGACAGCCAGGAUGUUGGCUUAGAAGCAGCCAUCAUUUAAAGAAAGCGUAAUAGCUCACUGGUCGAGUCGGCCUGCGCGGAAGAUGUAACGGGGCUAAACCAUGCACCGAAGCUGCGGCAGCGACACUGUGUGUUGUUGGGUAGGGGAGCGUUCUGUAAGCCUGCGAAGGUGUGCUGUGAGGCAUGCUGGAGGUAUCAGAAGUGCGAAUGCUGACAUAAGUAACGAUAAAGCGGGUGAAAAGCCCGCUCGCCGGAAGACCAAGGGUUCCUGUCCAACGUUAAUCGGGGCAGGGUGAGUCGACCCCUAAGGCGAGGCCGAAAGGCGUAGUCGAUGGGAAACAGGUUAAUAUUCCUGUACUUGGUGUUACUGCGAAGGGGGGACGGAGAAGGCUAUGUUGGCCGGGCGACGGUUGUCCCGGUUUAAGCGUGUAGGCUGGUUUUCCAGGCAAAUCCGGAAAAUCAAGGCUGAGGCGUGAUGACGAGGCACUACGGUGCUGAAGCAACAAAUGCCCUGCUUCCAGGAAAAGCCUCUAAGCAUCAGGUAACAUCAAAUCGUACCCCAAACCGACACAGGUGGUCAGGUAGAGAAUACCAAGGCGCUUGAGAGAACUCGGGUGAAGGAACUAGGCAAAAUGGUGCCGUAACUUCGGGAGAAGGCACGCUGAUAUGUAGGUGAAGUCCCUCGCGGAUGGAGCUGAAAUCAGUCGAAGAUACCAGCUGGCUGCAACUGUUUAUUAAAAACACAGCACUGUGCAAACACGAAAGUGGACGUAUACGGUGUGACGCCUGCCCGGUGCCGGAAGGUUAAUUGAUGGGGUCAGCGCAAGCGAAGCUCUUGAUCGAAGCCCCGGUAAACGGCGGCCGUAACUAUAACGGUCCUAAGGUAGCGAAAUUCCUUGUCGGGUAAGUUCCGACCUGCACGAAUGGCGUAAUGAUGGCCAGGCUGUCUCCACCCGAGACUCAGUGAAAUUGAACUCGCUGUGAAGAUGCAGUGUACCCGCGGCAAGACGGAAAGACCCCGUGAACCUUUACUAUAGCUUGACACUGAACAUUGAGCCUUGAUGUGUAGGAUAGGUGGGAGGCUUUGAAGUGUGGACGCCAGUCUGCAUGGAGCCGGCCUUGAAAUACCACCCUUUAAUGUUUGAUGUUCUAACGUUGACCCGUGAUCCGGGUUGCGGACAGUGUCUGGUGGGUAGUUUGACUGGGGCGGUCUCCUCCUAAAGAGUAACGGAGGAGCACGAAGGUUGGCUAAUCCUGGUCGGACAUCAGGAGGUUAGUGCAAUGGCAUAAGCCAGCUUGACUGCGAGCGUGACGGCGCGAGCAGGUGCGAAAGCAGGUCAUAGUGAUCCGGUGGUUCUGAAUGGAAGGGCCAUCGCUCAACGGAUAAAAGGUACUCCGGGGAUAACAGGCUGAUACCGCCCAAGAGUUCAUAUCGACGGCGGUGUUUGGCACCUCGAUGUCGGCUCAUCACAUCCUGGGGCUGAAGUAGGUCCCAAGGGUAUGGCUGUUCGCCAUUUAAAGUGGUACGCGAGCUGGGUUUAGAACGUCGUGAGACAGUUCGGUCCCUAUCUGCCGUGGGCGCUGGAGAACUGAGGGGGGCUGCUCCUAGUACGAGAGGACCGGAGUGGACGCAUCACUGGUGUUCGGGUUGUCAUGCCAAUGGCACUGCCCGGUAGCUAAAUGCGGAAGAGAUAAGUGCUGAAAGCAUCUAAGCACGAAACUUGCCCCGAGAUGAGUUCUCCCUGACUCCU
rnacentral:rRNA from 1 species